AACGAACGCUGGCGGCGUGCUUAACACAUGCAAGUCGAACGGAAAGGCCCUGCUUGCAGGGUCCUCGAGUGGCGAACGGGUGAGUAACACGUGGGUACUCUGCCCUCCACUUCUGGAUAAGCCUGGGAAACGGGGUCUAAUACCGAAUAGGAGCCAUUUUUAGCGUGAUGGUUGGAAAGUUUUUUCGGUGUAGGAUGAGCUCGCGGCCUAUCAGCUUGUUAGCGGGGUAAUGGCCUACCAGGGCGGCGAGGGGAAGCCGGCCUGCGAGGGUGGACGGCCACAUUGGGACUGAGCUACGGCCAAGACUCCUACGGGAGGCAGCAGUGGGGAAUAUUGCACAAUGGGCGCAAGCCUGAGGCAGCGACGCCGCGUGGGGGAUGACGGCCUUUGUGUGGUAAAAUACUUUCGCGAGGGACGAAGCUUUUUGUGACGGUACCUAGAUAAGAAGCACCGGCUAACUACGUG
rnacentral:rRNA from 1 species